rnacentral:lncRNA from 1 species
CAUUAGAGAAAUCAAAGAUUUGUAUCUUUAUUAAGACAGUUUGCCAACAGUUGGAAGUACUAUAAAGUAUCUUGAAGAAGGGAUGGGGAUGGUUGUCUUUUUCUAAUUUGCACAAAGGUGCCUUUGGGCUAGCAGCAGCCUGGUUAGUGCAACCAGACAUAUGCACCAAGAGAGGAAGUAACACUCAGGAAGUGGUCAACCUUGCUGCAGGGCAUCAGCGGAGGUUUCACAGAGGAAGUUUACCUUGAGAAGAGAAAGGUGAAAAGAGCAGAACAGCUUCAAAUCCAGGAAAUGACAAACAAAGGCAGAGUGAGCAGAAACAAGAACUGCUGAAGUGUAAAGCGCAGGAGAGAAGCCACAGGAAGCAUGUCCAGAAAUGGAGGGGUGAGAGCAUAGUGGGUGAUUACUGCUAAGAAAGACCCUCGACCCUGAGCUGUCGGACUCUGCAGAUGAGGGGCUACAGAAAAAUCUCUCUGGGACAGGGGUGGGCAGAUGGGGGAGAGAAGGCAAUGCAGCAGGACUGCCAGAGGACACCAAAGCCCAGAGCUAAGACCAAGGAUGAUGGAGCUAACAAAGAUACAUACUUUAGAAGAAAAGAAAAUAGACAGGGAAGCUUGAGGAGCUACAAGGUCCAGAGUGUCCGUGGGGAAAGGCAAACCUGCCGCUGAGUUGGAAGACAACAGCUG